rnacentral:rRNA from 1 species
AUUGAACGCUGGCGGCAGGCUUAACACAUGCAAGUCGAGCGGAGUGAUAGUGCUUGCACUAUCACUUAGCGGCGGACGGGUGAGUAAUGCUUAGGAAUCUGCCAUUUAGUGGGGGACAACAUUCCGAAAGGAAUGCUAAUACCGCAUACGUCCUACGGGAGAAAGCAGGGGAUCUUCGGACCUUGCGCUAAAUGAUGAGCCUAAGUCGGAUUAGCUAGUUGGUGGGGUAAAGGCCUACCAAGGCGACGAUCUGUAGCGGGUCUGAGAGGAUGCUCCGCCACACUGGGACUGAGACACGGCCCAGACUCCUACGGGAGGCAGCAGUGGGGAAUAUUGGACAAUGGGCGGAAGCCUGAUCCAGCCAUGCCGCGUGUGUGAAGAAGGCCUUUUGGUUGUAAAGCACUUUAAGCGAGGAGGAGGCUCUCCUAGUUAAUACCUAGGAAGAGUGGACGUUACUCGCAGAAUAAGCACCGGCUAACUCUGUGCCAGCAGCCGCCGUAAUAC